rnacentral:rRNA from 1 species
UGCGUAGGUGGCUAUUUAAGUCGGAUGUGAAAGCCCGGGGCUCAACCUCGGAAUUGCAUUCGAUACUGAGUGGCUAGAGUUCGGUAGAGGGCGGCGGAAUUUCCGGUGUAGCGGUGAAAUGCGUAGAUAUCGGAAGGAACAUCAAUGGCGAAGGCAGCCGCCUGGGCCUGGACUGACACUGAGGCACGAAAGCGUGGGUAGCAAACA